rnacentral:ribozyme from 15 species
UACAAAAAAAAAAAAAGAGAAAAAGAAAAAAAGAAAAAAAAGAAAAAAAAUUUAGUCGAACCUACGGGAAAAAUAAUCAUUUGUUUUUUUGUUGUUUCCUCCUUGGUGCACAACACCGAGUGUCCGGGUGUAGGUACUUAUCUAAAUAAUGGAAAGAGGUGCAAAGACUUUAUUUUUUGUUCUUUUCU